UGUUGGAUCGUCUCUCGCUGGUCACAGAUAUGACAAAGCACAUACGUGUCCGGGCCUCAGGUGGAAGGUCCACUGCAUCCGAACUUGGGCAGUUCUCGCCUGUCUUUGUUUGGUUGUUGCGAGACUUUUAUCUGGAUUUGGCAGAAGACAACAGAAAAAUUACUCCACGAGAUUACCUAGAGCUAGCAUUGAGGCCUGUUCAAGGUGGAGGAAGGGACAUAUCUGCAAAGAAUGCGAUACGGAACUCCAUCCGUGCACUUUUUCCGGACAGGGAAUGUUUUACACUUGUGCAACCUGUGAACAAUGAGAAAGAUCUCCAACGUCUUGAUCAACUUCCUGUAA